GCCGGGUGCGGUGGCGCGUGCCUAUAGUCCCAGCUACUUGGGAGGCUGAGGUGGGAGGAUCGCUUGAGCCCAGGAGUUCUGGGCUGUAGUGCGCUAUGCCGAUUGGGUGUCUGCACUAAGUUCGGCAUCAAUAUGGUGACCUCCUGGGAGCCAGGGACCACCAGGUUGCCUAAGGAGGGGUGAACCAGCCCAGGUCGGAAAUGGAGCAGGUCAAAACUCCUGUGCUGAUCAGUAGUGGGAUCGCGCCUGUGAACAGCCACUGCACUCCAGCCUGGGCAACAUAGCCAGACCCCAUCUCUU
ensembl:misc_RNA Metazoa_SRP Metazoan signal recognition particle RNA